rnacentral:rRNA from 1 species
GUCGAACGCUGAAGCCUGGUGCUUGCACCGGGUGGAUGAGUGGCGAACGGGUGAGUAACACGUGAGUAACCUGCCCCUGACUUCGGGAUAAGCCCGGGAAACUGGGUCUAAUACCGGAUACGACUGCCGGACGCAUGUCUGGUGGUGGAAAGUUUUUUCGGUUGGGGAUGGGCUCGCGGCCUAUCAGUUUGUUGGUGAGGUAAUGGCUCACCAAGACGACGACGGGUAGCCGGCCUGAGAGGGCGACCGGCCACACUGGGACUGAGACACGGCCCAGACUCCUACGGGAGGCAGCAGUGGGGAAUAUUGCACAAUGGGGGAAACCCUGAUGCAGCGACGCAGCGUGCGGGAUGACGGCCUUCGGGUUGUAAACCGCUUUCAGCAGGGAAGAAGCGCAAGUGACGGUACCUGCAGAAGAAGUACCGGCUAACUACGUGCCAGCAGCCGCGGUAAUACGUAGGGUACGAGCGUUGUCCGGAAUUAUUGGGCGUAAAGAGCUCGUAGGUGGUUGGUCACGUCUGCUGUGGAAACGCAACGCUUAACGUUGCGCGUGCAGUGGGUACGGGCUGACUAGAGUGCAGUAGGGGAGUCUGGAAUUCCUGGUGUAGCGGUGAAAUGCGCAGAUAUCAGGAGGAACACCGGUGGCGAAGGCGGGACUCUGGGCUGUAACUGACACUGAGGAGCGAAAGCAUGGGGAGCGAACAGGAUUAGAUACCCUGGUAGUCCAUGCCGUAAACGUUGNGCACUAGGUGUGGGGGGCAUUCCACGUUCUCCGCGCCGUAGCUAACGCAUUAAGUGCCCCGCCUGGGGAGUACGGUCGCAAGGCUAAAU